rnacentral:lncRNA from 1 species
GCUCAGCUGUGACUUUGCCUGGAUUAUGGCAAUGACAAAAUCGCUAAAUACCUGCAUUAUGUUAUUAAUUGCUGUAAGCUCUGUGGAAGAGACUGCCAUAUUUUUUUUUUUUUUUUUUUUUUUUUUUUGUUUUCCUCUCCUUUUAACGAGCGCGCCUGCUUUGUGGAGAUGCCGGGGGGCCGGGGGCUACCCAGCAACCCCCCGCCUUUGGCGGGGCGGGCUCUGAUGGGGGAAAAAAGCACCGAUUCCUGAAAUUCCAGGCUCCGGGAAGCACCAGUUCCCCCCCCCGGGGGCGAGGGGGGUGUGGGGGGGUCUCUGGCGGGGCUGGGAGCCCCAGCAGGGCGGUGGCUCAGCCCGUAGAGCGCCGGGUUGGCAUGCGGGAGAUGCAGGUUCGAUACUCGCCUCUGACAUUUUUGUCUCUGGAGAGCGUGUGUGUAUGGGGUGCGGGGGGAAUGUGUGUGUGUGUGUGGACACGCGUGUGUGUGUGUGUGUGUGUGCACUGCUCUGUGUGGAUGUGUUUGGGUGUGUGUAUUUAUAUAGGGUGGGCACACGUGCAUGUACAUGUGUUUGUGUGCACACGCGUGCAUGUACAUGUGCCUGUGUCUAUAAUGUGUGUGCACACAGAUGUGUAUAUGGACGUGCAUGUGUGUGCAUACAUGUGUAUAGGUGUGUGCAUACAUGUAUGUAUAGGUGUGCAUGCUUGUGUGUACAUGUAUAGGUACACGUGUGUCUAUAGGUGUGUGCACAUACAUGGCUGCACAUACACACGUUAUAUAAACGCAUGUGUUUACAUGUGCAUGUAUGUAUAGAUGUGUGCACACACGUGCACAUGCGUGUUCUUUUGCACGUGUGUGCGUAUACCUGUGUGUGUGAGUGUAUAGACACGUGUGUGUCGCGCACACGUGUGCACAGCUGUGUGUGCGUGCUCCUGUGCACACGCGUGUGCGCGUGCCGGCUCUGUGCACACACCUGUACGUGCCCGUACAUACGCGUGCGUGUCCCCGCGCGCCACCGGGAGGGGGCGGGGUCGUGAGGGGGCGGGGCCAAUAGGAGGCGUGUCCCACGGGCGGGUCAGGGGCAGCGCUGCGGCCGGUUGCCGAGGCGCCGUCCAAUAGGCGCGCUGGUUGCUAGGGGGUGGUGGGCCAAUGGGCGUGCGCGUUGCUGUUGCCAGGCGGCGCGGCGGGGCGGGCCGGGGCGAUGAGCGGGCCGCGGCGGCCCGGCAGCCAUGGAGAUCCGCUGCGGCGGGCUGCUCUUCAGCUCCCGCUUCGACUCGGGGAACCUGGCGCACGUCGAGCAGGUGGAGCCGCCCGGGGCCGGAGGGGGGCCCGCAGGCUGCGGCGCCGCGCUGCCCCCCGCCGACU